rnacentral:rRNA from 1 species
AUUGAACGUUGGCGGCAUGAUUUACACAUGCAAGUCGAACGGUAACAGGCCGCAAGGUGCUGACGAGUGGCGAACGGGUGAGUAAUGCAUCGGAACGUGCCCAGUCGUGGGGGAUAACUACUCGAAAGAGUAGCUAAUACCGCAUACGAUCUAUGGAUGAAAGCGGGGGACCGUAAGGCCUCGCGCGAUUGGAGCGGCCGAUGUCAGAUUAGGUAGUUGGUGGGGUAAAGGCUCACCAAGCCAACGAUCUGUAGCUGGUCUGAGAGGACGACCAGCCACACUGGGACUGAGACACGGCCCAGACUCCUACGGGAGGCAGCAGGGGGGAAUUUUGGACAAUGGGCGCAAGCCUGAUCCAGCAAUGCCGCGUGCAGGAAGAAGGCCUUCGGGUUGUAAACUGCUUUUGUACGGAACGAAACGGCUCUGGUUAAUACCCGGGGCUAAUGACGGUACCGUAAGAAUAAGCACCGGCUAACUACGU